rnacentral:rRNA from 1 species
UACGUAGGGCGCAAGCGUUGUCCGGAAUUAUUGGGCGUAAAGAGCUCGUAGGCGGCUUGUCACGUCGGGUGUGAAAGCCCGGGGCUUAACCCCGGGUCUGCAUUCGAUACGGGCUAGCUAGAGUGUGGUAGGGGAGAUCGGAAUUCCUGGUGUAGCGGUGAAAUGCGCAGAUAUCAGGAGGAACACCGGUGGCGAAGGCGGAUCUCUGGGCCAUUACUGACGCUCAUGCACGAAAGCGUGGGGAGCAAACGGG